rnacentral:rRNA from 1 species
CAGUCGCCGCGGUAAUACGUAGGGUGCGAGCGUUAAUCGGAAUUACUGGGCGUAAAGCGUGCGCAGGCGGUUGUGUAAGACAGGUGUGAAAUCCCCGGGCUUAACCUGGGAACUGCGCUUGUGACUGCACAGCUAGAGUAUGGCAGAGGGGGGUGGAAUUCCACGUGUAGCAGUGAAAUGCGUAGAGAUGUGGAGGAACACCGAUGGCGAAGGCAGCCCCCUGGGCCUGCACUGACGCUCAUGCACGAAAGCGUGGGGAGCAAACAGGAUUAGAUACCCCUGUAGUCCCUGUCUCUUAUAC